rnacentral:rRNA from 1 species
UACGUAGGGGGCGAGCGUUAUCCGGAAUAAUUGGGCGUAAAGCGCAUGCAGGCGGUCAGCCAAGUUCAUGCCGACAAUUCCCGGCUUAACCGGGAAAGGUGUGUGAAUACUCGUUGACUUGAGAGCGAGAGAGGGACACGGAAUUCCAGGUGGAGCAGUGAAAUGCGUAGAGAUCUGGAGGAACACCAAUGGCGAAGGCAGUGUCCUGGCUCGUUUCUGACGCUCAGAUGCGAAAGCCAGGGGAG